rnacentral:other from 1 species
AUGCCUCUGCCGUGUUCGGCGGGCGCGACGUGAGAGAAGAACCGAUACACCCGUUUCGGGAAGCGAAAGUCCAGGACGCUCCGGCGGCCGGCUGCUGCCCACUUUGAAAUAACGGGUUCUUUCUCCAUACCGCGUCACCGGCACUUGGUGGAGGCUUU